rnacentral:rRNA from 1 species
CCUACGGGCGGCAGCAGUGAGGAAUAUUGGUCAAUGGGCGCGAGCCUGAACCAGCCAAGUCGCGUGAGGGAAGACGGUCCUAUGGAUUGUAAACCUCUUUUGUCGGGGAGCAAAAGACGCCACGCGUGCCGUUCCGAGUGUACCCGAAGAAAAAGCAUCGGCUAACUCCGUGCCAGCAGCCGCGGUAAUACGGAGGAUGCGAGCGUUAUCCGGAUUUAUUGGGUUUAAAGGGUGCGCAGGCGGAAGAUAAAGUCAGCGGUAAAAUGUCCGGGCUCAACCCGGGACGGCCGUUGAAACUGGGAAUCUUGAGUGGGAUAGAAGUAUGCGGAAUGCGUGGUGUAGCGGUGAAAUGCAUAGAUAUCACGAAGAACUCCGAUUGCGAAGGCAGCAUACCGGCGCCCGACUGACGCUGAGGCACGAAAGCGUGGGGAUCGAACAGGAUUAGAUACCCGGGUAGUC